rnacentral:lncRNA from 1 species
GAAAAAAGUUUGAUUUUUAAACAAAAAGUGAACAAAUUAAGGGUAAAAUGGCAAUUUCAUAUUUUGAAAUAAAAUAAAAAAAUGCUAUGUUGACGGAAGUUAGCAAAAAAUAACGGUGAGGGUAUUUAUGAAAGAAAUAUUAUAUUUAGAGGGAUAUUUGUGAAAUUUUAAAAAUUAAAAAGUUAUUUAUGAUAUUUCAUAACUUUGUGAGGGUACAAAUGAAAUUAACCCAAAAAAAUAUUUUAGCUAAUUAUAUAAGAGGGGUAAAAGGUCAAUUUUAACUUAUUCACUAAUCAAGAUUAAAUAUUUUACUUAUGGUUAAUUAUAUUUUUCUAACAAAUCCUAACAGCAGUGAUAUAUUUGAAAAUAUUAAAACUUUUGUAGGAAUAAAAAUAAAAAAUUAAACAUUGUAGAGAUAAAUCUGUUAUUUGAUAUGUUUAUAGAGAGUCGUAUGUAAUUAAUCCUAAUUAUUAUUAUUACU